UCAACAAUCAUAGUGUAUCCGUUUUGUUCAUGCGAGGUCACCUUAAUUGCAGAAGUUUAGUUGGUAUUAAUUCAAGUUAAGUAUAAACAUAAGCACAAAACUUAAAAUGAAUGCUGACCAUUGAUAUUACCUAAUCAACGGUUAAUAUCAUACGCGUGUCAUUAACCUUCUUCUAUGUUUUCAUUUUCUCCUCUGGAGCUUUUCACUUGAAGUGGCAUCUGAGCAGUGAGCUUCUCUCCUCCAUUGAAGGAGCUUCUGAGAUUUCAGGUGAGAGUGAAGAGUUAGGAAAAGGAAAUGGAAAAGGAAAGCUUCAGUUGUUUUUUAAGGAUGGAAGGAGAAGGAAACUUUUUAUCCAAUCUUGAUGAUGAAAUGAGGGAAAUACUGGCAGAAUUUAUGGUUGGAGUUAUAAAGUUGAGUUAGUGGAAGUUGGACGGAAGUAUCUCAUCAGAUUUCAGCAGGCGCUUGAGUUUCUCCGACACCCUUCAAUAUAUGAAUCAUCAGAACUGGUCAAGAGCAUCAUCAAAGCAAACGAAACCAAGAGGAUUACUGCAUAUGUAGAAGCUGGGUGCAUCAAUGCUUUUGAUAACACAAAUAAUGUAAGUCAGCUGAAUACAAGUUUGGGUGACCUUCGGGAUUGUCUAACCCAAGCCAAAAUCAUAAUAGACAAACUUGAAAGCCUCAUGGAUAAGGCAGGCAAUGCUUUAAUUAUGAACAAGUAGUUGCUUCCCAGAAGCUUGAUGCUGCUGGUUGUGCAUCGUAUAUAGCAGUAAUCUACAGCAUGUUAAAGCAAGACUAUACAAUGCAGAAUAAUAUUGUUUCUUCGUUGAAUUUUACAACUUCAAAUGGUGAAUUAGAGAGCUACUGUCUGAUGUGGAUGUUAAGGCCGUUUAUAAACGACGAUGUUAUACAUCAGGCUUUGAGACAUACAAGUAUUAGAUAACCAAUUUUACUUUGGAUGUUCUUUCA